CCUACGGGUGGCAGCAGUGGGGAAUAUUGCACAAUGGGGGAAACCCUGAUCCAGCGACGCCGCGUGAGUGAAGAAGUAAUUAGUUAUGUAAAGCUCUAUUAGCAGGGAAGAAAAUGACGGUACCUGAGCAAGAAGCCCCGGCUAACAUGGUGACAGCAGCCGCGGCAAUACGUAGGGUGCAAGCGUUAUACGGAUUUACUGGGUGUAAAGGGAGCGUAGACGGCAGUGCAAGUCAGCGGUGAAAGGCUGGGGCUCAACCCCCGGACUGCUGUGGAAACUGUACGGCUGGAGUGCAGAAGAGGUAGGUGGAAUGCCUGGUGUAGCGGUGAAAUGCGUAGAUAUCAGGCAGAACCCCGGUGGCGAAGGCAGCUUGC
rnacentral:rRNA from 1 species